rnacentral:snRNA from 1 species
AAGAAGUAUGAAUGUGUAUGAAG